rnacentral:rRNA from 1 species
AGAGUUUGAUCAUGGCUCAGAUUGAACGCUGGCGGCAUGCUUUACACAUGCAAGUCGAACGGCAGCACGGGGGCAACCCUGGUGGCGAGUGGCGAACGGGUGAGUAAUAUAUCGGAACGUACCCGGAAAUGGGGGAUAACGUAGCGAAAGUUACGCUAAUACCGCAUAUGCCCUAAGGGGGAAAGCGGGGGACUCGCAAGAACCUCGCGUUUCGGAGCGGCCGAUAUCGGAUUAGCUAGUAGGUGAGGUAAAGGCUCACCUAGGCGACGAUCCGUAGCUGGUCUGAGAGGACGACCAGCCACACUGGAACUGAGACACGGUCCAGACUCCUACGGGAGGCAGCAGUGGGGAAUUUUGGACAAUGGGCGCAAGCCUGAUCCAGCCAUGCCGCGUGAGUGAAGAAGGCCUUCGGGUUGUAAAGCUCUUUCAGCCGGAAAGAAAACGCACGGGUUAAUAACCUGUGUGGAUGACGGUACCGGAAGAAGAAGCACCGGCUAACUACGUG